rnacentral:rRNA from 1 species
UACAGAGGUCCCAAGCGUUGUUCGGAUUCAUUGGGCGUAAAGGGUGCGUAGGCGGUUCUUUAAGUUUGGUGUGAAAUCUCCCGGCUCAACUGGGAGGGUGCGCCGAAUACUGAAUGACUUGGAGUGCGGGAGAGGUGAGUGGAAUUCCUGGUGUAGCGGUGAAAUGCGUAGAUAUCAGGAGGAACACCGGUGGUGUAGACGGCUCACUGGACCGUAACUGACGCUGAGACACGAAAGCGUGGGUAGCAAACAGG